CUGACAACUACUCGCUCUCCAUUUCCUUGGCCGUCCUCUCAAGCAUCGAACAUUGAUGCACCUUUUUCAGGGAGGUAUUACCCUAAGCAUCGAACAUUGAUGCACCUUUUUCAGGGAGGUAUUACCCUAAGCAUCGAACACAUCUUCAUAACAAAGUACAAGCAUGUCAUUCACUGAUGCAACCCUUUUUGUGCUCAGGGGGGCAACCCUGAUACCAUUGGAUCCACCGAUCCGAACAGGAGUUAGUCCUCGUUCACCGAAAAAAUACCGACGAAGCAAGGACAAUCAAAAUCCACUCAAACUACCACUCAGAUGCACACUGGAAAGAUGGUCAAAAACUGCAUUUCUAUGGUAACGGUGACGCAACAGCCCGCAUUGAAAGCGAGAAAGACUGCAAGGUCAUUCCAAUAUACCUGAUUCCCUUAGAUUCCGAUACCCUCAAGAGUUGAGAAAUUAUGCUCAUUGUCAGAAUCAUAAAACUUGAAAGGAAUUUACAACUAGUAUGAACAAAACAUGACUAAACGAAUGUACAACGAAAAUAAUUAAAAGACAAAAAAAACAUGAGAACUGAAGUAAGGUAAUGCCAAAAAAAACAUACAAUUAUACUACGUGAACAAAACCGACAGAGAGAAAAAAAAAAAAUAAAUAAA